rnacentral:ncRNA from 1 species
CAACCUCAACUCAUAUGGGACUACCCCCUGAAUUUAAGCAUAUUAAUUAGGGGAGGAAAAGAAACUAACAAGGAUUUUCUUAGUAGCGGCGAGCGAAAAGAAAACAGUUCAGCACUAAGUCACUUUGUCUAUAUGGCAAAUGUGAGAUGCAGUGUAUGGAGCGUCAAUAUUCUAGUAUGAGAAAUUAAUGAUUUAAGUCCUUCUUAAAUGAGGCCAUUUACCCAUAGAGGGUGCCAGGCCCGAAUCCACCACAGGGCG